UCGACGCCAUGAAGUUGACAUUGUCGGUGAGGUCCUUCCAGGUACCUGCAACGCCGGGCACGGCAGCCUGGCCGCCGAGUUUGCCCUCGGUGCCGACUUCGCGCGCCACGCGCGUGACUUCCGCCGCGAAACCAUUGAGCUGAUCCACCAUCGUGUUGAUGGUGUUCUUAAGCGCGAGGAUUUCGCCUUUUACAUCGACCGUGAUUUUACGCGACAGAUCGCCUCGCGCGACGGCGGUUGUCACAUCGGCAAUAUUGCGGACCUGUGCGGUUAGGUUUCC
rnacentral:misc_RNA from 1 species